UAUAAAAGACACCCUAGGGGUGUUGAUUGUAACACCAGAAAAACGAAAAGCAAUACAAAGCAAAGGCUCGACACGGGCCUUUAGCCAUCAAAUCCAUCGAUCAGUCUUAUUCGUGUCGCUAGUUACGCAAGUUCCGUCAAGUAGCCGGCCAAAGCAAGAAUCGCGUAGGCACGCCUGUACAGCUGCAUACGCACGUUCAA
rnacentral:lncRNA from 1 species